UGGGGAAUAUUGCACAAUGGGCGCAAGCCUGAUGCAGCAACGCCGCGUGAGGGAAGACGGUUUUCGGAUUGUAAACCUCUGUCUUUGGUGACGAAGAAGUGACGGUAGCCAAGGAGGAAGCCACGGCUAACUACGUGCCAGCAGCCGCGGUAAUACGUAGGUGGCAAGCGUUAUCCGGAAUUACUGGGUGUAAAGGGAGCGUAGGCGGGCAGGCAAGUCAGGCGUGAAAUAUAUCGGCUCAACCGGUAUCUGCGCUUGAAACUGCAGGUCUUGAGUGAAGUAGAGGUUGGCGGAAUUCCUAGUGUAGCGGUGAAAUGCGUAGAUAUUAGGAGGAACACCAGUGGCGAAGGCGGCCAACUGGGCUUUUACUGACGCUGAGGCUCGAAAGUGUGGGGAGCAAACAGGAUUAGAUACCCUGGUAGU
rnacentral:rRNA from 1 species